rnacentral:tRNA from 1 species
UCCCUGACUGUCCAGUGGCUAAGAUUCUGCGCUUCCAAUGCAGGGGGCCCAGAUUCGAUUCCUAGUCAGGGAA